GUGCCAGCCGCCGCGGUAAUACGUAGGAGGCAAGCGUUGUCCGGAUUUACUGGGCGUAAAGAGCGUGUAGGCGGUUGGGCAAGUCUGCUGUGAAAUCUCCAGGCUCAACUUGGAGGGGUCAGUGGAAACUGCCAAACUUGAGGACGGUAGAGGGGGGUGGAAUUCCCGGUGUAGUGGUGAAAUGCGUAGAGAUCGGGAGGAACACCAGCGGCGAAGGCGGCCCCCUGGGCCGCUCCUGACGCUGAGACGCGAAGGCCAGGGUAGCGAACGGGAUUAGAAACCCCUGUAGUCC
rnacentral:rRNA from 1 species